UACGUAGGGUGCAAGCGUUAAUCGGAAUUACUGGGCGUAAAGCGUGCGCAGGCGGCUUUGCAAGACAGAUGUGAAAUCCCCGGGCUUAACCUGGGAACUGCAUUUGUGACUGCAUGGCUGGAGUGCGGCAGAGGGGGAUGGAAUUCCGCGUGUAGCAGUGAAAUGCGUAGAUAUGCGGAGGAACACCGAUGGCGAAGGCAGCCCCCUGGGCCGACACUGACGCUCAGGCACGAAAGCGUGGGGAGCAAACAGG
rnacentral:rRNA from 1 species